UAUUUUCCCCUUACUCUUCAAACCUGUGAUCGACUCCACUCAGGCCCUUGAGGACACUAAUCUUUACUCAGUCUUAUAUUGAGAGAUGGGACUUCUUCCUGAGUUAUACAUUAGAUGUCAGAAAUCCUGUCCCCCUAUCUGCAGGCAAUUUAGUUUGCUUCCUGAUCAACAGACUGUGUCUGUAUUCUGUCACCUUUCUAAGUUGGAAUGUUAACCAAGCUGUAGACUUGGGAGAUUGUCUGCAGCAUAUGGCUUUAAUUGGUUUCAGUUAAUGCAGCUAUAGAUCUACAAGUGGUAUGGAAACCAGAUUGAGUAAAAGCCAAGAGAGGGUUAGGUCAUUCCUAGGGUAGAUUUCCAACUACACUAUUCUCUAAAUAAAUGUUCACAGAUGCAGAUAAGCCUGUGAACAUCUCCUGAGAAAGUGGGUUAUUUAUGCUGUAGAUAAUUUUAUUUACUAUGGGCCAUCUCUACUCACAACCAAUUUAAAUGUUUGAAAUGAAUCAACCAGUUAUAGUUUCAUGUUGGUAAUGCAGCAGUCUAACCCAAAAGUGUGGUGGUAGACAUAUUUAGAGCAGCUAAAUCGGAACUUAACAGGUUUAUAUGUUAAUGCACAUAUAUUUCAUUCUCAAAAAAUACUUCAGGCCCUCACUUAAAGUCUAUUUAAUCUUGUUUUACACAAAUAUUAUCAAAUUUGACUCUCUGGUUUCCCAGAAGAUCAAAAAGGAGGGAGAAAAAUGCUACAGGCCAGCUGGUAGGUAAAUUGAGAUAAUUGAAAAAUAAAUAUUAAUAAUUAGGCAGGGUAAAGAGACUUGUAUAAAAUCAUUUUGCUGAAUCUGUUUUUGUUUUUUGUACUUAGAGAAUCACUAUAUUAUAGCCAAGAACAAUUACUGACCUAUAAUUUAUAUUGAGACACUAAGAAAAGAUUUAACUAUGUUCACUAAAUUCUGUGGUGGUUAGGGAGAAGCAUGGUGAACACUGUGGCAAUAUUUACUUGCAAAAAUUAUUUAGUAGUAUUCAAAAUUAUUUGUUAACUAAUAAUUGUACUCUAUAUAGCUGAGAUAGUAGAAUUGCUUCAGUCUCAUUUAACUUCUGCCAAAAUCAUCUAUAUAUUUUUGAGGAGCAUAGAGUGGAGAGAAAGAGAUUGAGAAGUUAAAUAGGUUAGGUGUUGCUAAUCACCAUUCUUCAUAAUGCCCUGGAAUGGAUGAGAUGGCAAAUGUGAUUCAAUUUUUACCACAUAGAGUCUCAGUUCCUACAGACCUCUCAUCACAUAGAAAGCCCUCACCUAAGCUAAGUAGGAUACUAACUUUUAAAGGUAUACUUUGGGGGAGGGAAGGUUUACAACAGAGCCAACAAAUUACUUCAUCUGGUUUUAAGUCCAAACUGUGAUCUGUUGCAAUGCCAGGGCUGAGGGGCUGUGGGACUGUCUCUGAUAGAUUUAUAGAACAAUGGUAUGGUGAUUGCUAAUGUGGUCCCUUACGGAUGAAUUUUUAAGGUAAUGUUACUUUCUUUGAUUUUUUGUCAUAUGUGCCAAUCUUCUGAUCAAAGCUACAACUGAGAGGCAACUCCAUAGUAAUUAAACACACCAAGCAAUGUAAGAGACAGAAUACUCCCUGGCUUAUAGGUACUUUUAUCUCUUGUGCCUAGCACAUAGUAGGUUUAUAUUAACUUUUAAAAAUAAAUACUUUUUAAACACUACUUUCCAGUGGAAAACCCAAAAGAUACUACUGCUAGUUUACCCAGUAUUUAUCUGAUUAUUUCAGAUUGCAGUAUAAUAUUUGUGAAAGUAGAAACCUCAUCUACCUUUUCCACUUCUAUUUCUUGAGGAUCUAGUACAUGGUAGAAGUGUAAUCAAUAUUCUGACAUCCGUAAGUGAAUGAGUAAAUCAAUCUAAAGUUGAUGUAGGCACUCUUAGUCUUUAAGAUGUGUUUUAAAUUUUACUAGCAGCUAAGUGAGUCUGGUUAGGACUAAGAAACAUAUAGCAAGUAAAAUAAGUGACUUUACUUAAGAAUUUGAAGAGAAAUUAAUGACAAUUUACAUAAUUAGUCAAGAUCUUAAUUGACUAACUCAUGUUCAUCACUUCUGUGCCUUUUAAG
rnacentral:lncRNA from 1 species